CUAAUACCACACAGUAGAAAUACUCUGUUAUAGUUUAAAGUACUAAUACCACACUGUAAAAAGUUAGUCUUGCUCCACACUAAUAAAAGUGAUGAUCUGAACUGGAUAUAUUUGUUUUAGAACUCAGCUGUGAUGAUGUCACAGGAUGCUGAUCUCAGCCAAUCAGACAUCAGGACAGGUAACCAUGGAGAUGGAGAGUCUGGUACGGGACAGAGGAAUGUGCUGACCACCCCCCCGACAGUAAACAUGACCUCACUCGGGGGUCAAAGGUCAACAGAGAGCUGAUUGUUCACGGGGAUGUGGUGUUUAGUUUGAAAGCUCAGUUCUUCUUCUGUGGUGGUAAACUGUAGCGGUGGGGGGGGUGGGGGUCAAAGGUCACUGCUCCUAAUUUAAACUAGAGUCACACUCAAACACUACAACACACACAGUACUACACACAGUACUACACACAGUACUACACACAGUACUACUUAUCUUCUCGUCUCUCUCAGAUUCUCCUGCAGACUCUUCUGGAGGUUUUGGUUUCCCGGUGUGGUCGUCAUGGAAAUGCCGUCAGAAUGAUGAGGUCCCCUGUGUGUUUCGGGGCUCGUUGUAAUCCCCCGGCCGGAUCCCGUUAGGUAAACUGGAGUCUUCGUGGCGUCUCACCUGCAGCUGAUGAUCACAGGGUUCAGGUGACGGUUCAGGUGUGAACUCUCUUUCAUCUAAACAGACCAGCUGUGCAGCCGGACCGGCGGCGACGCGUCACACAGACCAGACUGAGAAUCAUCUGGGACUGAACAAAGCGCAGUAAGUGGACCCUUUAAACUGUCCUGUUGUUCUCUGUAAACUGAUGAAGGUGAUAAUCAUCACAGUAAACCACUCUGACGGUAUUCCAGCUCCUUUAUUCACACUAAACGUGACGUACAUGAGACAUGAAACACAACAGGCUGAGAUGUACACGUUGGAAUACUGAGAUCACAUUAAACACACACAUCACAAGUACUUUCAUGUGUCGUCGAUUCUUCAACAAACUAAGACGGAACAUUAGAAACUAAAAUUCAGAGUUUGAUCUGAAUCCUCCACUCUUCUUUAGUCUGAUUCGUUGCAGGAGAGCUCGAGUUACGUCACGAGUUUAGGAUUUUUAAAUUAUAUUUUUACUUUU